rnacentral:rRNA from 1 species
UAGUAACGGCGAGUGAAGCGGGAACAGCUCAAAUUUGAAAUCUGGCCUUCGGGUCCGAAUUGUAAUUUGUAAAGGAUGCUUUUGGUUAGGUACUUUCCGAGUUCCCUGGAACGGGACGCCUUAAAGGGUGAAAGCCCCGUACGGUUGGAUACCGAGCCUCUGUAAAGCUCCUUCGACGAGUCGAGUAGUUUGGGAAUGCUGCUCUAAAUGGGAGGUAAAUUUCUUCUAAAGCUAAAUACCGGCCAGAGACCGAUAGCGCACAAGUAGAGUGAUCGAAAGAUGAAAAGCACUUUGAAAAGAGGGUUAAAUAGCACGUGAAAUUGUUGAAAGGGAAGCGUUUAUGACCAGACUUUUUCCAGGCGGAUCAUCCGGUGUUCUCACCGGUGCACUUCGUCUGGUGGAGGCCAGCAUCGGUUUCCGUAGCGGGAUAAAAGCGGUAGGAAUGUGACUCCCCCGGGAGUGUUAUAGCCUGCCGUAUAAUACCGCUAUAGGGACCGAGGUUCGCGCUCUGCAAGGAUGCUGGCGUAAUGGUCAUCAACGACCCGUCUUGAAACACGGACCAAGGAGUCGAACAUUUGUGCGAGUGUUUGGGUGUUAAACCCUCACGCGUAAUGAAAGUGAACGGAGGUGAGAGCCCUUACGGGUGCAUCAUCGACCGAUCCUGAUGUUUUCGGAUGGAUUUGAGUAAGAGCAUAACUGUUCGGACCCGAAAGAUGGUGAACUAUGCGUGGAUAGGGUGAAGCCAGAGGAAACUCUGGUGGAGGCUCGCAGCGGUUCUGACGUGCAAAUCGAUCGUCAAAUCUGCGCAUGGGGGCGAAAGACUAAUCGAACCAUCUAGUAGCUGGUACGCA